CAUUCCAAGAAGGCUUGGAAGGGUCCUAAGCAGGGAAAUGACACAAUCCAACGUUUAUCCUAAGAAGACCAUGAAAGAAAGCGGGGCAAGAACAAAUGUCAGGAGACCAGGACCUCACAGGCACCACGGCGCCCCCUGCCCUGCCCUGCCCUGAAGCAGUUCCAGGAACGUCAGAUGGUAAGAGAAGAAACGACUUACAAACGUCAAGUCCAUUUUACAGAUGGAAAAUCUGAAGCUCAGAUAGG
rnacentral:lncRNA from 1 species